rnacentral:rRNA from 1 species
CGAAAGCCUGACGGAGCAACGCCGCGUGAGGGAUGAAGGCCUCUGGGCUGUAAACCUCUUUUCUCAAGGAAGAAGAUCUGACGGUACUUGAGGAAUAAGCCACGGCUAAUUCCGUGCCAGCAGCCGCGGUAAUACGGGAGUGGCAAGCGUUAUUCGGAAUUAUUGGGCGUAAAGCGUCCGCAGGCGGCCCUUCAAGUCUGCUGUUAAAAAGUGGAGCUUAACUCCAUCAUGGCAGUGGAAACUGUUGGGCUUGAGUGUGGUAGGGGCAGAGGGAAUUCCCGGUGUAGCGGUGAAAUGCGUAGAUAUCGGGAAGAACACCAGUGGCGAAGGCGCUCUGCUGGGCCAUAACUGACGCUCAUGGACGAAAGCCAGGGGAGCG